rnacentral:rRNA from 1 species
AGUGAACGCUGGCGGUAGGCCUAACACAUGCAAGUCGAACGGCAGCACAGUAAGAGCUUGCUCUUACGGGUGGCGAGUGGCGGACGGGUGAGGAAUACAUCGGAAUCUACUUUUUCGUGGGGGAUAACGUAGGGAAACUUACGCUAAUACCGCAUACGACCUACGGGUGAAAGCAGGGGAUCUUCGGACCUUGCGCGAUUGAAUGAGCCGAUGUCGGAUUAGCUAGUUGGCGGGGUAAAGGCCCACCAAGGCGACGAUCCGUAGCUGGUCUGAGAGGAUGAUCAGCCACACUGGAACUGAGACACGGUCCAGACUCCGACGGGAGGCAGCAGUGGGGAAUAUUGGACAAUGGGCGCAAGCCUGAUCCAGCCAUACCGCGUGGGUGAAGAAGGCCUUCGGGUUGUAAAGCCCUUUUGUUGGGGAAGAAAAGCAGCAGGUUAAUACCCCGCUGUUCUGACGGUACCCAAAGAAUAAGCACCGGCUAACUUCGUG